UGGGGAAUAUUGGACAAUGGGCGCAAGCCUGAUCCAGCCAUGCCGCGUGAGUGAUGAAGGCCCUAGGGUUGUAAAGAUCUUUCACCGGUGAAGAUAAUGACGGUAACCGGAGAAGAAGCCCCGGCUAACUUCGUGCCAGCAGCCGCGGUAAUACGAAGGGGGCUAGCGUUGUUCGGAUUUACUGGGCGUAAAGCGCACGUAGGCGGACUUUUAAGUCAGGGGUGAAAUCCCGGGGCUCAACCCCGGAACUGCCUUUGAUACUGGAAGUCUUGAGUAUGGUAGAGGUGAGUGGAAUUCCGAGUGUAGAGGUGAAAUUCGUAGAUAUUCGGAGGAACACCAGUGGCGAAGGCGGCUCACUGGACCAUUACUGACGCUGAGGUGCGAAAGCGUGGGGAGCAAACAGG
rnacentral:rRNA from 1 species